CCCUUAAAUUUGUAUCUGCUGUAAAUGUGAAGAUACCAUAGACUGUUGGGUUUAGGUGGGGAGGCAAUGACUAUCUGAUUGCCCAUUAAAAACCUAUGUACAUGA